GCGGAAUUGUCGGAAUUGGCAGACGAGCAGGAUUUAGGUUCCUGUGCCCCUGGCGUGUGGGUUCAAGUCCCACAUUCCGCA
rnacentral:tRNA from 1 species